CAUGUGAUCUGUAAAAUGGCUACUGCUGAUGGGUGGACAUAUGGUGGUUAUAGCUAUAAAUUGGUAGCACGGGAUCCUCAACAAGUUACCUGCUGCUACAAUAUAUACUGUAAGAGCUGUCUGGAUACACU